GAGAGUCAUUUUCCUUUUGAGAAUUACCAACAGAGCUUUUGACUGAAGUUGAAUUUGUAAUUUUUAAAAUUAUCUUUUUAGUAAAGGUUGAUUAUUUUAGGUAACUUUUUUUUUAUUACACAAUUUCGUCCUUUUUUAUUUUUAUUUUUAUAAAGACAAUUACAUUCAUUCUUUAAUAAAAUUGCUAUUAUCAAAUAUGGUAACAUUCUUUUAAAGGGUACUCCUAUUAUGAUAAAUUUAGCAAUAUAAGUAUAUUUUUAAAAAAAAAAAUUAUUAGCAAAUAAAUUUAAAAAUAUUUAAAUUGUGAAUUUUUUUUAUUACUGUGAAGGCCUUUGUAAUCCAGUGGUUAUGUUGUUUCCCAUUGUACUUGGAAGUAGGGGCGUAACUUAGUGUGGGCUAACCUGAGCUAUAACCUAGGUCCAAAAAAAAAAAAAAAAAAAAAAAUUAGUACUACUAUUUUUUAUCAGUCAUAGUCCAACCCAAUCAGUCAUAGCUUAGCCCAUGCCCAAGCUCAAUCCAGAAUAAAGCAAAAAAACAAAUGGGCCAGCCCAGCAAUGAGCAAACCAAAGUUACAAAGUACAAGCCCAUCUAUCUGAAAACCUAACUAUUAUGGUGUUGGAACAUUCCCAUUUGCCUACCUUCCCAAAAAAAAAAAAAAAAAAAAAAGAUACCCAUCUGGCUCUGGGUCAUCUCUCUGAAAACGCAGGAGCCGCAGGAACAUUCCCAUCUGCCUCUGGGUCAGCUCUAUGAAAAUGCUUCACAGCCUAGCAAACCAACGAUUGAAGCCUCGAAGAUUUGGUCUGAUUGGUACUAUCUGAAGAGCGAGUAUGAAGAGCCGAGGUCUGAGUUUGGAUCUGGGCAUAGGCGGAGGCUGGAGUUCUUGAUCUCUUAGAUUAUGUGGAGGAGUUCGUUGAUGGUGGAGGUGAGCUAAUCGGUGGUGGACUUGCACCAUCAUUAUCAACUUCCACCAUUACCAUCCCUCUCUUCGGCCCGGUUCUCAUCAAUCUCAGUUUCCAAGACCUCGCCGCGGAUAUUAACAAGCGGGAAACCAUCAAAUGAUGAAUUGCCGUUGCUCUUUGUUGCUGUAUAUCAGUAUAUGUGUAUGUAAUGUGUAUAUAAUUGUCUGUGACUAGAUAAAAGGGUGUUUUUGUCUUUUCCAUUCAACUCUAAAUUUUUUAUAAAUAUUAGUAAUAUAUAAUUGAUUAGUAAAAUUGUAAAA